rnacentral:rRNA from 1 species
GACGAACGCUGGCGGCGUGCCUAAUACAUGCAAGUUGAGCGCUGAUGGUUGGUACUUGUACCAACUGGAUGAGCAGCGAACGGGUGAGUAACGCGUGGGGAAUCUGCCUUUGAGCGGGGGACAACAUUUGGAAACGAAUGCUAAUACCGCAUAAAAACUUUAAACACAAGUUUUAAGUUUGAAAGAUGCAAUUGCAUCACUCAAAGAUGAUCCCGCGUUGUAUUAGCUAGUUGGUGAGGUAAAGGCUCACCAAGGCGAUGAUACAUAGCCGACCUGAGAGGGUGAUCGGCCACAUUGGGACUGAGACACGGCCCAAACUCCUACGGGAGGCAGCAGGAGGGAAUCUUCGGCAAUGGACGAAAGUCUGACCGAGCAACGCCGCGUGAGUGAAGAAGGUUGUCGGAUCGUAAAACUCUGUUGGUAGAGAAGAACGUUGGUGAGAGUGGAAAGCUCAUCAAGUGACGGUAACUACCCAGAAAGGGACGGCUAACUACGUG